rnacentral:rRNA from 1 species
UACGUAGGCAGCGAGCGUUGUUCGGAGUUACUGGGCGUAAAGAGUGCGUAGGCGGUUUUCUAAGUUUGGUGUGAAAUCUCCCGGCUUAACUGGGAGGGUGCGCCGAAAACUGGAAGGCUUGAGUAUGGGAGAGGUAAGCGGAAUUCCUGGUGUAGCGGUGAAAUGCGUAGAUAUCAGGAGGAACACCUGCGGUGUAGACGGCUUACUGGACCAUAACUGACGCUGAGGCACGAAAGCGUGGGGAUCAAACAGG